GACGAACGCUGGCGGCGUGCUUAACACAUGCAAGUCGAACGGUAAGGCCCUUCGGGGUGCACGAGUGGCGAACGGGCGAGUAACACGUGGGUGAGCUGCCCUGCACUUCGGGAUAAGCCUGGGAAACUGGGUCUAAUGCCGGAUAGGACUCCUGGCUUCAUGGUUGGGGGUGGAAAGCUUUUGCGGUGUGGGAUGGGCCCGCGGCCUAUCAGCUUGUUGGUGGGGUAAUGGCCUACCAAGGCGACGACGGGUAGCCGGCCUGAGAGGGUGACCGGUCACACUGGGACUGAGAUACGGCCCAGACUCCUACGGGAGGCAGCAGUGGGGAAUAUUGCACAAUGGGCGCAAGCCUGAUGCAGCGACGCCGCGUGAGGGAUGACGGCAUUCGGGUUGUAAACCUCUUUCAGCUAUGACGAAGCGCAAGUGACGGUAGUAGCAGAAGAAGGACCGGCCAACUACGUGCCAGCCGCCGCCGUAA
rnacentral:rRNA from 1 species